rnacentral:lncRNA from 1 species
CCUAAUACUAAUGCACUCUUAAUGAGUGUAAAUAUGUUUAUUGGCUUUAAUAUUCAUUACCAAAUGAAAAAAGGCUGUAAUUUGCUUUAAAAUGAUAUUCACUUUAUGGCAGAAUGAAAAAAUUAUUUUGCUGUAUUAGAAGGGUAUGCCUGUAAUCUCUCUCUCAAUGGUGUCUCUACUUUGUCAUAGUGAAGGAGCUUGCAUGUUCCAGUGACCCUGAGAGCUAUGCCAGAGAUAGCUUUGCUACUGGUAGACCUUUCCUUUUGCUACUGGUACUCUUCCUUUGACCUGUCCAUGCUGGAAAAAGAAAAAGGCCCAGACUAAGAGAGCACCACUACACAAAUUAAAGUGUGAAUUAUCAUGGUGAGAGUUGAUGGCUCUGAGUUAGUGAAAGAUGCAGUGUUCUGAAUAAUCUCUUCAAGGUACCAGGCAAAACCUUGUUGUAGUUAGUCUUCCACCCAUAUUGUAGGAUAACUGAGUGGUGACCACUUUGUGGUUCUUCCAAUAAGUUCUUGUUACAUGGAUAACAAUCACACUUUUUGUCAGGAGACUGCUUCUCUGCCCCACCGUGGAGUCAGCAAUUCCAGUUUACCUGUUGAGGGGGCUUGGGUUGCCAGCUUGCCUCAGAGCAGUGGGAUGGUGGAGCAGUCUGCGUCUUUUUCUUCUUCUGUGAGUAAACCUAGUCUGCAAUGGGAAGAUUGUCUAGAGUGGUUAAGAGAAAGCAUAGGAUGGCUAGAAGCAAAGCUGCUGUUACUGGUGGUUCUCAGUUACCGGGCAACUAGCUUUGUCUGAUCCUCCUGUUGGUACCCUGAGUUACCAGCAAGCAGAUCAGAUCUGCAGUUUCUAUCCUCUCUUCUGGGGAGGGUAGGCCUGCAAAAAAAGUACUCUGUGCUCUUAG